rnacentral:rRNA from 1 species
CUUACACAUGCAGUCGAGCGGGGAGAUGUAGCUUGCUACAUUUCCUAGCGGCGGACGGGUGAGUAAUGCUUAGGAAUCUGCCUAUUAGUGGGGGACAACAUUCCGAAAGGAAUGCUAAUACCGCAUACGCCCUACGGGGGAAAGCAGGGGAUCUUCGUACCUUGCGCUAAUAGAUGAGCCUAAGUCAGAUUAGCUAGUUGGUGGGGUAAAGGCCUACCAAGGCGACGAUCUGUAGCGGGUCCGAGAGGAUGAUCCGCCACACUGGGACUGAGACACGGCCCAGACUCCUACGGGAGGCAGCAGUGGGGAAUAUCGGACAAUGGGCGAAAGCCUGAUCCAGCCAUGCCGCGUGUGUGAAGAAGGCCUUUUGGUUGUAAAGCACUUUAAGCGAGGAGGAGGCUACUUAGAUUAAUACUCUAGGAUAGUGGACGUUACUCGCAGAAUAAGCACCGGCUAACUCUGUGCCAGCAGCCGCGGUAAUACAGAGGGUGCGAGCGUUAAUCGGAUUUACUGGGCGUAAAGCGUGCGUAGGCGGCUUUUUAAGUCGGAUGUGAAAUCCCUGAGCUUAACUUAGGAAUUGCAUUCGAUACUGGGAAGCUAGAGUAUGGGAGAGGAUGGUAGAAUUCCAGGUGUAGCGGUGAAAUGCGUAGAGAUCUGGAGGAAUACCGAUGGCGAAGGCAGCCAUCUGGCCUAAUACUGACGCUGAGGUACGAAAGCAUGGGGGAGCAACAGGAUUAGAUACCCUGGUAGUCCAUGCCGUAAACGAUGUCUACUAGCCGUUGGGGCCUUUGAGCUUUAGUGCGCAGCUAACGCGAUAGUAGACGCCUGGGGAGUACGUCGCAAGACUAAA